CUUCCCCAAUUUUAUUCAUAAGUGCCCAUAAUACAUAUUCUGAGCACUCCAAAUCUGUGAUACCUCUGACUCUAACCCCGCACAUGUCACAAUAUAAAAGCAGGGGUUAGAGUUAGAGGUAUGUUGGAUUAGAGCACCCCAAAACUUAAAACAAGCAUAUUCUGGAAUGAAUACAUGAGUUGCAAACAUUUGUUUACAAAAUUAUAUCAUAUGGAUAAAUAUGUUUGUCAAGAGAAAAUUUUUUAACCUUGGUAUAGUGUUGAGUCAUAAAGUUUAAUGUUUAAAAAAAGGUGACCAUAAUUACCAAAAAAAAAAGUUUUCUAAGCCAUUAUUACCUUUCUCAAAUGUCAUAAAUGUUGAAAUAUUUUAUCUUUAAUGAUUUAUAAGCUAGCCUCUAGAGUUAAAUUAUUCUCUCAGUCAUAAAUGCACACUUCAUGCUGCCAAAGUUUACAAUUAAUAUACACUUAAAGGUCUUACGCAAGGAAAUAGCCAAUCAAAAUGAUUUAUUCAAUUGUAGUUCUAUAUGUAAUGGUUUGGGCCGUGGAUAUCGGCCUGGGUAGCUCAGUCAGUAGAACACCUGACUAGUGAUGCAGGGGUCCCGGGUUCGAUUCCCGGUCCUGCCAUACAUUUUCUCAUUUCCUGUUACAGAUUUGGUGCCGUUGAUCACCCCUGGACUUGGAGGUGAAAGUCCUCCCAGGGGCAAAUAAGAACUUGGGUUGCGUCUUCGAGGGCGAAGACAAUUUAAGGAGGGAGGAAUGUAAUGGUUCUGGCCGUGGAUAUCGGCCUGGGUAGCUCAGUCGGUAAAGCACCUGACUAGUGAUGCAGGGGUUCCGGGUUCGAUUCCCGGUCCAGCCAUACAUUUUCUCCUUUCCUGUUACAUAUAUAUAUAUAUAGACAAUUUCUUUUCCUUUUUUUCUUUUUUGGCAUCUUAUUUUAGGCCUACAGUAUUAAUUUUGGGCUCAUUUACUAGGAAUAUUAUAACUUUAUUGGAAUUGUCCCACUGAAUUAAAGGGAACUCUUUUUUCAGGUGCGCAUGAUGCAACUUCCUGGAUGGUGUGUAGUCUGUUUGUCAACAUGUGAAACCCACGUGUAUUUUGAGGAAUAGCCUCCCCUGUUAAAGAUCAAUAAUGGUGGAUAAACAAUGCAGGAUGCUGUCAUGUCAUCAACAGAGAGUUUUGACACCCGUGUACCCGUAUUUCUACCAAUCACCUCUGUAACCUUUGUUGUGUUCAUCAGACAGAUGAUGGACCACUCUACUUCCUUUUACAACAGGUGCCCCUACAGAUUCACAAAGUUCCAAUGUUGAUUUUCCAUGACCCCCAUUCAUCCGCGACAGGAAAAGGAAUGAAGUUGACAGGAUUUCCCGCACUGUCCUUGGUAGCAGCUUAUGAUAGAACGGACAGCAGUAGACCUAGCCCGCUUCAUCAAAGGUCUGCUGCAUGUUGGUAGCUGAUGCUGGUUCAAUAUUUGCGCCAAGAAGCAUACCACGCAUACCCUCUGUAGUAAGGCUGGUACCCAUGUGACCGACAGCCAUAGCCACAUUUAGCUGUGCAGCUCUGCGUCCCCUUCUGGAUCUCCCCACCUCUUCAUACAGCUUUUCACAGCGACUUGUAUAGUGGCACUUCUUACAUCGGAUGGAAAGGAUCCAUGCCAGGCCUCGUUUUUCCUCCCCAUGCUGGUUCCAGUCCAGUGAACCAUUACAGUCUGGAAACUUCUAGCUGCCUGGUCUUCUAAGAGAAACUCCAUUCUUUGAUGAUUGAUGGAAAAGCCUCAUCACUCCCUACUGCUAAAGAACCACUUAUCUUAAUCACCAGCCAUUUAUCAGUGAUCACUGUUAUCAAAGCUCCAUGGUACGUCAUUGAAGUCUUUCUUGGCACCAUUUUUUCCAGUCCCUGACUUUGUUUAGAAUUAAGAUUGACAAUUUUUUGCUAAUUACUUCCUUAUAAAUCAGUAAACUUCCUGUUUCUUAGUUAAUUAGGGCUUGUUAAUUAGAGUUGAAAAAACUUUUAUGCAGAUGGACACAAACUCCAACAUCUCAGCUUGCAUAUCAUUCCAAAUUUUUUCCUAAAUAAUUCACUCAUUAGAUUUUUUUGUGUUUUGAAAAUGAUAUACUGGAGAACAAUUUGACCAGAAAUUUAGCCUAAAAUUCUGCAAUCUGUUUGGAAGAGUUAUCUCCUAUUUUUCAUCCCUUAGGGUCAAAAAUAGAUUUUGAUGCACUAGUAUAUGAGAGAUAAAUAACUAAUAGACAUUUUUCUGCAAAUUUCAUUUAAUUUCAUUAACUUUUAGUCAUCUUAAAGGUCUUACGCAAGGAAAUAGCCAAUCAAAAUGAACUUAGUCAAUUGUAGUUCUAUAUAUAGAGAGAAUUUCUGUUCUUUUUUUCUUUUUCCGGCAUCCUAUUUUAGGCCUACAGUAUUAAUUUUGGGCUCAUUUACUAGGAAUACUAUAACUUUAUUGGAAUUGUCCCACUGAAUUAAAGGGAAUUCUUUUUUCAGGUGCGCAUGAUGUAACUUCCUGGAUGUUUGUCAACAUGUGAAACCCACGUGUAUUUUGAGGUAGGUGUGUUUACUGUCAAUUUUCUCUCUUGAAUGCCGCAUAAGACG